rnacentral:lncRNA from 1 species
GUAGAUGGAGUAAGAGAGGAGAGAGAGAUAGUAGAUGCAUUAGAACUUUCACAUGAAAAAAAGAAUGAGGUUUGAGCUCAUGUUAGAAUUCCUAUGAAAUUGAGGCCAUAGGGAUGCAUUUCAUAGGAUUUUGCGAACUGCAUUCCUAUGAUCCAAAUGGCUCUUAUAGGGAAAAAAAUCCUAAGGAUUAGAAUCCUAAAAAAUUCCUUUGGAAAUCCUACAAAAUAUUCAUGUUUUUAUAUCUUAGAACAAACAAAACAAAAAAUGUACCAGUUCUCAGUUCUUUAGAAAGGCAGGAUUUAAGCACUGAACUUGUUUCUUAGGC